GCCACACACACUGUCACACAGCAGCUGUGUUACUGCAACACUCUGCCUGCUACAAUUAUUCUCAGUUUCCUAAAUAAUUUGUGAGAAUACGGCCAGAAAGCCUGGACUGUGUUUCAGCUUUGUUUGACACAAACGUCGACCAAGAGUGCGUUCUAAUCCCAGUCCUUAUAAACACGCUUAAAUUUUAAAGACUCGUGGCAGCUCUAGUUCCUGCAGCUGAAGUCAACCAUGAGGUCGUCCAAGUGAGACCCACUCCCUGUGGGAGUCCAAGGGAGGGAGAAGAUGAGGCAGUUGGUGGAGAGCAGGCAGGCGGAGAUGAGCCGAAUACUCACAGAGCUGCACCACAGUGGAGGGCGAACUGUGAAUAAAAGCUGCUUGUGCAUGACAGCUGAAGGCAAGAAGUCAUUUAUCGUGUUGGUGCUGAAGCUGGCCAGCCAAAAUGAUACUGAUCAAUCAUCCAAUCAUCCGUGUUAAAGAGGACGACCUCGGUUUUUCCUUCCACUGACGCACUGUCAGGGUUUGUGACCAGCAGGCGUAUAAAAACACUUCAGCGUGCUCUGGUUCACAAACCAAUGUCCUUUUUCUCUGCCGCCACACUGAGCUGAUCUCAUCACUCAUUUCUAUACACAGCUGCCCCUCUGCAGGCUUCCAGAAGUUAGCCAAUCAGAAGUGCUUUUAGGGAGGGAGGCCUUAAAGAAACAGCAGGUGACAGAGGCGCAGCCCAGUGUAAGCUAAAGAAGGAUUAUUAUGAACUGUGAACCUUGCAGAUCAUACAGAGCUGGAAACAAGUAGAAAAGGUCCACUUUUUCAUACUUAAUCAGAGCUCAGUAAACACUUUGCCCCAGAGGAUUUCUGGGUAAUGAAGUCCUUCAGUUGUGUCAUUAGAUGCCUCGACACUGACGUGAGCAGCUCUGUGAGUAAGAGGCUGAGGAUGCCGAUGCGUUCAGCUGGGAAACGCUGAAUCUGACAGCUCGGCUCUUUUCUUCUGUUUGAGCACUUUUCUUUCUUUUCUUUCUAUUUGCGACUUUGACAGCAGGCUUCAACAAAAGACAUCAGGGGGCUCGAGUCGACUCGGCCUUACGCUGUGAGCCUCAGAGCGUCGUCACUCUGAACAGCAGCCGGAGUGAUUUUUUUUUAUCUGCUGACGUCUGUCAUACCGAGGGACAAAACCUGCUGCGAGCUCCGACCACGAGCUGAGAGGAUUUUACCUCGGUGUCAACCAAUCAAAGCAACAUUUAGUCCCACAGAUGAGAGAAGAUCCAACCAUAAGUUCAACAGUAAUCAGAUUUUUUACAAUUUAAGAUUUGAGCCUUUUUUCAUGAGCUGCAGAUAUAAUCGUACUUUUCUCACUACGUCACAAUAAAACAUUUUAUCCUGUAAAUGAUUCAUAUUUUUGCCUGAAUGCAGGAUUUUUGACCAGAUACAUCUCCACGUAUUGUAAGCUCAGCCAAAAUGAGAUUAUAUAAAUAUUUCUACAAAUGUGUUGUUUCCAUCUGCAAAAGUUAAAGAUCUCUACACUUAUCAUAAAGUAUUCUGAUUAAUAACAUAAUGAAAGAGUCUACAUCAGAGACGCCUUAAAGAUGGAAAUAUCUUUCCAUGCCGAGGCUUCAUGUUUGGUUGUGCAGCACAGUCCUGACAGCAGCCAGCAGAUAAACGCGUGUGAGCACGCGGCGCCGUCUCCGGCUGAUCUUUGUGCCUCUGCGUCAAAGUCGUUACUUUUGUUGCACAUUCCAGCUGUUUGCUUGUUGGUGAAUCCACUUCUUUAAGCUUUACGGCCUCGUUAAGUUUCAGUCUGAAACCAAAGACGUGUUUUGAAAAGUCACCGGUGUGUUUGUGUGUGAUUUUGUCUCGAUGAUGUUUUGACCUGUUUGUGUGUUUGGUGGUUUGUUUCCAGAAUGUUUUAUUUUUAGAUUAUUUAAUGCACAGAUUUGUUAUUAUUAUCUUUCGAGCAUCUGUCUUCUUAAAGGUGUCGCCUGCACUUAAUGUUGUUCACGGUUAUUAAACCCUCCUCACCUCAGACCAGCAGUGACUUCACUCUUAGGCUGAUUGUUUUUGUAUUAGAUGUAUGUAGAUUAUAUUUCUCUAAUUUUUAUAAAUAUAUAUCAGUUUGAUGAACUGCAGAUGACAUGUAUGAGAACACUACGACUGUAGUUACUCACAGAUACCAAAUAAAUCUUUAUCACAAAA